CUCGCCUACGGGGCGCAGCAGUGGGGAAUAUUGCACAAUGGGGGAAACCCUGAUGCAGCAACGCCGCGUGAGUGAAGAAGUAUUUCGGUAUGUAAAGCUCUAUCAGCAGGGAAGAAGAAAGACGGUACCUGACUAAGAAGCCCCGGCUAACUACGUGCCAGCAGCCGCGGUAAUACGUAAGGGGCAAGCGUUAUCCGGAUUUACUGGGUGUAAAGGGAGCGUAGACGGCUGUGCAAGUCUGAAGUGAAAGCCCGGGGCUCAACCCCGGGACUGCAUUGGAAACUACCGAACUAGAGUGUCGGAGG
rnacentral:rRNA from 1 species